UACGUAGGUGGCAAGCGUUGUCCGGAAUUAUUGGGCGUAAAGCGCGCGCAGGCGGGAAAUCAAGUCCGAUUUAAAAGUGCGGAGCUCAACUCCGUGAGGGGUCGGAAACUGAUUUUCUUGAGUGCAGGAGAGGAAAGUGGAAUUCCCAGUGUAGCGGUGAAAUGCGUAGAGAUUGGGAGGAACACCAGUGGCGAAGGCGACUUUCUGGACUGUGUCUGACGCUGAGGCGCGAAAGCCAGGGGAGUGAACGGG
rnacentral:rRNA from 1 species